CCUACGGGAGGCAGCAGUGGGGAAUAUUGCACAAUGGGGGAAACCCUGAUGCAGCGACGCCGCGUGAGUGAAGAAGUAUUUCGGUAUGUAAAGCUCUAUCAGCAGGGAAGAAAAUGACGGUACCUGACUAAGAAGCCCCGGCUAACUACGUGCCAGCAGCCGCGGUAAUACGUAGGGGGCAAGCGUUAUCCGGAUUUACUGGGUGUAAAGGGAGCGUAGACGGUAGCGCAAGUCGGAAGUGAAAGCCCAUGGCUCAACCAUGGGACUGCUUUGGAAACUGUGGAACUAGAGUGCAGGAGAGGUAAGCGGAAUUCCUAGUGUAGCGGUGAAAUGCGUAGAUAUUAGGAGGAACACCAGUGGCGAAGGCGGCUUACUGGACUGUAACUGACGCUGAGGCUCGAAAGCGUGGGGAGCAAACAGGAUUAGAUACCCGGGUAGUC
rnacentral:rRNA from 1 species